UACAGAGGGGGCAAGCGUUGUUCGGAAUUACUGGGCGUAAAGGGUGUGUAGGCGGUUGUGUUAGUCUUCUGUUAAAUUCUUCGGCUUAACCGGGGGCAUGCAGAGGAAACGGCACAACUAGAGGAUGCGAGAGGUGAAUGGAACUCAUGGAGUAGGGGUGAAAUCCGUUGAUAUCAUGGGGAACACCAAAUGCGAAGGCAAUUCACUGGCGCACUCCUGACGCUGAGACACGAAAGCGUAGGUAGCGAAUGGG
rnacentral:rRNA from 1 species